rnacentral:rRNA from 1 species
UACGUAGGGUGCAAGCGUUGUCCGGAAUUAUUGGGCGUAAAGAGCUCGUAGGCGGUCUGUCGCGUCUGCUGUGAAAACUCAGGGCUUAACCCUGAGCUUGCAGUGGGUACGGGCAGACUAGAGUGCGGUAGGGGAGACUGGAAUUCCUGGUGUAGCGGUGAAAUGCGCAGAUAUCAGGAGGAACACCGAUGGCGAAGGCAGCUCACUGGGACGGUACUGACGCUGAGGAGCGAAAGCUAGGGGAGCGAACAGG